CUCUAGAGGGAUGAAGUUUGGUGCUAUUCCAUUUUGCACAAGUUUAUCAGGACCAUUCCUACUGACAGGGAGCAAAAUACAAGGUUUGUGAACAGAACCACAUGAGUGUUUGGAGGACCCUUGACAUUGCACCUUGGAUGAUUCUGGCCAGCUUUGCCUUGUCUUUGACGAGGAGGUGACCAUACCAGACGGCGAUGCUAAAUGUGAGGAUGCUCUCAACAAGAGACCUGUAAACAGUCCACAGUACCCCAGACCUGACGUUGAAGCUGCGGAGUUUCCUCAAAAGGUACAGACUUUACUGGGGCUGUCUGUAUACUUGGAUCACGUGAUCACUAGAGGAUAAUCUUCCCUCUAUCACUGUACCAAGGUACUUACAGCUGGCAGCCCUCAGUGCGCACACUCAUCGAAGUAGUUAUGAGUCAAGAGUUACAAAGUUGUCUCCCUUGUUACAGUGCUAAUUGCUAUGCUUGACAAUGGAUUGUAAUAAAACAAUUAGUGGUAUAAAGCCACGAAAGGGAUGCUGAUGCUUUAUGUAUCUGGCAUCAAUAAAAUUA